rnacentral:rRNA from 1 species
UAAUGUAUGGGGAUCUGCCCGAUAGAGGGGGAUAACUACUGGAAACGGUGGCUAAUACCGCAUAAUGUCUACGGACCAAAGCAGGGGCUCUUCGGACCUUGCACUAUCGGAUGAACCCAUAUGGAAUUAGCUAGUAGGUGGGGUAAAGGCUCACCUAGGCGACGAUCUCUAGCUGGUCUGAGAGGAUGAUCAGCCACACUGGGACUGAGACACGGCCCAG